rnacentral:rRNA from 1 species
CGGUGUUUAACUGGCGUGAUGUGGGACGUCCUACCGGUGGGCUUAGCCUCGCGAGGGGCGGCCCAACUAAUAUCCCGUCGCGGUGCUCUUUACUGAGUGUCGAGUCGGGCCGGUACGUUUACUUUGAACAAAUUAGAGUGCUUAAAGCAGGCUAUCCUCGCCUGAAUACUGCGUGCAUGGAAUAAUGGAAUAAGACCUCGGUUCUAUUUUGUUGGUUUUCGGAACCCCGAGGUAAUGAUUAAUAGGGACAGAUGGGGGCAUUCGUAUUGCGACGUUAGAGGUGAAAUUCUUGGAUCGUCGCAAGACGGACAGAAGCGAAAGCAUUUGCCAAAAAUGUUUUCAUUAAUCAAGAACGAAAGUUAGAGGUUUGAAGGCGAUCAUAUACCGCCCUAGUUCUAACCAUAAACGAUGCCAGCUAGAGAUCUGCGGAAGUUCCUCCGAUGACUCGGCGGGCAGCUUCCGGGAAACCAAAGCUUUUGGGUUCCGGGGAGAAGUAUGGUUGCAAAGCUGAAACUUAAAGAGAGUUGACGGAAGGGCACCCCCCGGAGUGGAGCCUGCGGCUUAAUUUGACUCAACACGGGAAACCUCACCAGGCCCAGACACCGGAAGGAUUGACAGAUUGAUAGCUCUUUCUUGAUUCGGUGGGGGGUGGUGCAUGGCCGUUUUUAGUUGGUGGAGAGAUUUGUCUGGUUAAUUCCGAUAACGAACGAGACUCUAGCCUGCUAAAUAGGCGUACCUUAUGGUAUUGUGAAGGCCCCCGGCUUCGGCCGGUGGGUUUUUACUACCAACGUACAAACAAAUAUUUUUUGAGGGACAGGCGG